ACGAACGUUGGCGGCGUGCCUAAUACAUGCAAGUCGCGCGAGAAACGGGGGGCAACUCCCGGAGUAAAGCGGCGAAAGGGUGAGUAAUACGUGAAUAACCUACCCUCGAGACUGGGAUAACCCAGGGAAACUUGGGCUAAUACCGGAUGGCAUCCCGGAGUCGCAUGGCACUGGGAUUAAAGCGUACCGAAAGGUCCGCGCUCAAGGAGGGGUUCACGGCCUAUCAGCUAGUUGGCGGGGUAACGGCCCACCAAGGCGAUGACGGGUAGCCGGACUGAGAGGUCGAUCGGCCACAUGGGCACUGAGACACGGGCCCAACAUCUACGGAUGGCAGCAGUAGGGAAUAUUGCGCAAUGGGCGAAAGCCUGACGCAGCGACGCCGCGUGGGGGACGAAGGCCUUCGGGUUGUAAACCCCUUUUCUGAGGGACGAACAUUGACGGUACCUCAGGAAUAAGCACCGGCUAACUCCGU
rnacentral:rRNA from 1 species